rnacentral:lncRNA from 1 species
GGAAGCUGUAAAGUGCCAGGGCCAGGUAUUUCCUGAUUGUGCUUUCCUGGCUGUGGUCCAGAUAGACAACACUACCUGCUAGUCUUUACCUGUGAUCUCCUCCACGUGGGUAAUCCCCCCUGCCUGCUGCUGCCUGCCAGAGCCCCAGCUCACAAAGAACCCCAGACUUGAGCUAUAAGGAAGGAUGUCUUUCAUAUUUGGGCAGCAUCUCAUCAAGCCUUCUGUGGUGUUUUUGAGGACGGAAUUGUCCUUUGCUCUCGUGAACAGGAAACCAGUGGUCCCAGGACCUGGGUCUUUCUCUGAUCUGUUUACGAGUAUUUCUUUAGAUGAAGAACCGUAAUGAUCUUAAGGAGCAAGCAGAGCACUGUACAUGGUCUGCUCUCAUUUUCCUAUUACCAUGGUUAUCUGGAAAUCUCUUGACAGC